rnacentral:pre_miRNA from 1 species
GUGUGUGGUUGGUCUUCAGCACCAAGGACAGGAAUGUUUACCUGUGUGUAAAUGAUGUUCAGCACCAAGUAC